rnacentral:rRNA from 1 species
UCGGGAAUUUUGGGCAAUGGGCGAAAGCCUGACCCAGCAACGCCGCGUGAAGGAUGAAGUAUUUCGGUAUGUAAACUUCGAAAGAAUAGGAAGAAUAAAUGACGGUACUAUUUAUAAGGUCCGGCUAACUACGUGCCAGCAGCCGCGGUAAUACGUAGGGACCAAGCGUUGUUCGGAUUUACUGGGCGUAAAGGGCGCGUAGGCGGAUUGUUAAGUCAGAGGUGAAAUCCCGGAGCUCAACUUCGGAACUGCCUUUGAUACUGGCAAUCUAGAGUCCGGAAGAGGUUAGUGGAAUUCCCAGUGUAGAGGUGAAAUUCGUAGAUAUUGGGAAGAACACCAGUGGCGAAGGCGGCUAACUGGUCCGGUACUGACGCUGAGGUGCGAAAGCGUGGGGAGCAAACAGGAUUAGAUACCCCAGUAGUCCCUGAGCGGGCUGGCAAGGCGCAU